AGUAAACAGUGGAUGUGCAGUUCCUCUCUUCGCCGAAUCCUGUUUUCCCUUUCUGCGGAGCAGUGCGACCGAUUUCCGGUUUCCCCGCCGCAACCACCGUUACACCCCCCCCCCCCCGCCCCAAUCCCCGGCGACUCCAGCGACGUCACCGGUUCAGCUCCUGACCUUUCGGCGAACCGCGGAACCACAGGCGACCCGUUCGACGUCAUCACUCCCCGCCCAGAUGUCGCUGUGACAUCACGCAGCACGUGCCUGCGCUGGCACCGCGUCGUCCUGGCGAGCGCCUCCUCGCGGCGGAAGAUCCUGGGGUUCGCUGUGCGAGACAUGUCGGCGGGGUUUCACGUGAGUGACACUUGGUCCCCACGGGAUUGACAGCGACUAGCGGAGUGACAUGUGGACGUAGCUUCAGGUGACCUCACUGACUCCACCCCUUGUGAAGACCCCACCACUGACCCACAGGCCUUGGAGGGGCUGAUCCUGGAGAAGCCAAAGGACCAGGAGGACGCCAUGGGGGUGCUGUACAGGCUGAGCAGGAAGCAGAGCAGCACAGCGUCAUCAUGAGGGUAGCCAUCUUCACCUGGGGCAUCCACGGAGGAGGAGCUGAUCCACGACUACUUGGACACCAGCACACCAGCGAAGGAUGGUGAGGCCCCGCCCCCUGCCUGCACAUGACACUGCCCACGCCCUGUCUGAGACUCUACCAAGUGGUUCUGGGAUAAUAGAUUGAGGGGAUGGGGGCUGCAUACAUUUGCAUGAGUUUGCAUAUUUUGGGCUCAUUUGAAUAAAUUUGUAUAAGUUAACACC
rnacentral:lncRNA from 1 species